UUAUCAUUUAGAGGAAGGAGAAGUCGUAACAAGGUUUCCGUAGGUGAACCUGCGGAAGGAUCAUUGUCGAGACCUGCCCGGCAGAACGACCCGCGAACGCGUCAUCGCACCCCUUGGGAGAGGGGCGGCACCGUGCCGCCGUUCUCCCGACGCCGUCGGGAGGGGCUGCGGGGGCCCAGCCCUCCCGCCUCUCCCGUCGGCCCAACAACCGACCCCGGCGCAGGACGCGCCAAGGAACAUGAAAAGAAAAGAGCGCGCCGCCGGAGGCCCCGGAAACGGUGCGCCCCGGCGAGCGUCGUCCUCUUUCGAGAACCGAAACGACUCUCGGCAACGGAUAUCUCGGCUCUCGCAUCGAUGAAGAACGCAGCAAAAUGCGAUACUUGGUGUGAAUUGCAGAAUCCCGUGAAUCAUCGAGUUUUUGAACGCAAGUUGCGCCCGAAGCUUCGGCCGAGGGCACGCCUGCCUGGGUGUCACGCAACCGUCGCCCCCCCGGCCCCUCGCUCGGGCAACGGGGCGGACGCUGGCCUCCCGUGCGCCGCAAGGAUGCGGUUGGCCGAAAAAGAACGAGUCCCCGGCGGCGAACGCCACGGCAUUCGGUGGUUGAAAGGCUCCCUGACGCUGCCGUGCGCGCUCCGCCCGCCGCGAGCGACCCCCGAGACCCAUUCGGCAACCGUGCGGUUGCUCCGACUGCGACCCCAGGUCAGGCGGGACUACCCGCUGAGUUUAAGCAUAUCAAU
rnacentral:misc_RNA from 1 species